GAUGAACGCUGGCGGCGUGCCUAAUACAUGCAAGUCGAGCGAACGGACGAGAAGCUUGCUUCUCUGAUGUUAGCGGCGGACGGGUGAGUAACACGUGGAUAACCUACCUAUAAGACUGGGAUAACUUCGGGAAACCGGAUCUAAUACCGGAUAAUAUUUUGAACCGCAUGGUUCAAAAGUUAAAGACGGUCUUGCUGUCACUUAUAGAUGGAUCCGCGCUGGAUUAGCUAGUUGGUAAGGUAACGGCUUACCAAGGCAACGAUGCAUAGCCGACCUGAGAGGAUGAUCGGCCACACUGGAACUGAGACACGGUCCAGACUCCUACGGGAGGCAGCAGUAGGGAAUCUUCCGCAAUGGGCGAAAGCCUGACGGAGCAACGCCGCGUGAGUGAUGAAGGUCUUCGGAUCGUAAAACUCUGUUAUUAGGGAAGAACAUAUGUGUAAGUAACUGUGCACAUCUUGACGGUACCUAAUCAGAAAGCCACGGCUAACUACGUG
rnacentral:rRNA from 1 species